CGCUCAAUGAGAUAAAUAUAUGGGCAAAUGUGUAUGCCAAAACACAAGUUAUUUCUACAAAAAAAAACGAGGAAUUUAUUUGUUCCUGAGAUACAUCCUUCCAUCAUCUAUCAGAAAGAACAAUUUCUUGAUAGAAAGGCAAGUAUCGUACAGUAUAAACAGCAAUUCUCUUACCAGAAAAUUAAUUAGCGGCCUCCAGAAAUGGAUAAUCAGUAUAGCCAAUUACAGGAUCAGAAAUAUAGAAUGUAUCUCUAUUGUACUUGUUGAGAGGAGCAUUAAGCUCAAAUCUCCUAGGUAAAUCAGGAUUGGCUAAGAAAAGACGGCCAUAAACAACGAGAUCUGCUCGGUUUUCUGCUAUGGCUUUAUUUCCAUCUUCCCUGUCAUAACCUCCAGCAGCAAGAAAAGUCCCUUUGAAAGCCUUUCUCAUGGGCAGAAGACUGUCUGGACAUUCAGAUUUUUCUCCAACUGUUUUCAUUCUUGGCUCAACCAUGUGGCAGUAAAGAAUUCCAUAUUUAUUCAAGGAUUCAGCCAUGUAAAGUCCCAAAGCUUUAGGAUUUGAGUCCCCAGAUUCCAUAUAGUUUGCAAAUGGAGAUAAUCUAAUUCCAACUUUAUCUGCUCCUAUCUCGUUGGCUACAGCUUCAACUAUUUCCAAAGCGAAACGGCAGCGG
rnacentral:misc_RNA from 1 species